AGGCAUUUAACCUGGCAAACCCCACCCCUCUUGUCUUCUUCCCCGCACAAGGCGAGUCGACGCCGCGCUCCCCUCCUUCCCCGGCGAGAAAAAAAGGCGGCGGCAUUCUCCUCCACCCCCACGCCGCGAACCGGAGCGGUGACAUAGAGGGGGCAACGGCUAGCGGUGGCGGCCAUGGAGGCGAUCGCCCGUGAGCACGAGCGCAGCGGAGAAGGAUUGAGCUUAGCUGCGGAGAAAGGAGGAGGCGGCCAUGGAACGCGCCGAGACGAGGACUUCAGUAAAAGCAGGCAUACCAGCUUUGUUCAUCAGGUAGGAACAAUGCUCUAAUCUUUCGGUUUCAGGUUGGAAACAGGAAAUAAAAAAACACAUGACUGUUUACCUGGAAUUUUACGGCCUAUCCUCUGCUUUUACAAGUUCAAAUAGAUUUACCAAGUGUGUCACUUUCAUUUGGAACUAGUGAAAGAAUUUCAUCCUCAGAGGCAACUGGGCAAAUGCAGUGCGACAUUAUUCGGCUAGGUA